GAGCCCCUACGGGGGGCAGCAGUAGGGAAUCUUCGGCAAUGGACGAAAGUCUGACCGAGCAACGCCGCGUGAGUGAAGAAGGUUUUCGGAUCGUAAGACUCUGUUGGUAGAGAAGAACGUUGGUGAGAGUGGAAAGCUCAUCAAGUGACGGUAACUACCCAGAAAGGGACGGCUAACUACGUGCCAGCAGCCGCGGUAAUACGUAGGUCCCGAGCGUUGUCCGGAUUUAUUGGGCGUAAAGCGAGCGCAGGUGGUUUAUUAAGUCUGUUGUAAACGUCAGUGGCUCAACCAUUGU
rnacentral:rRNA from 1 species